GAUGAACGCUAGCGGCAGGCUUAAUACAUGCAAGUCGAACGGUAAGUAGUGUAGCAAUACAUUACCAAGAGUGACGUACGGGUGCGUAACACGUAUGCAACCUACCUUGUACAGGAGUAUAGCUCGGGGAAACUCGAAUUAACCCUCCAUAAGAUCGUGGUGUGGCAUCACACAGCGAUAAAAACUCAGGUGGUACAAGCUGGGCAUGCGUCUGAUUAGUUAGNGGCGGGGUAACGGCCCACCAAGACGAUGAUCAGUAGGGGAACUGAGAGGUUGAUCCCCCACACUGG
rnacentral:rRNA from 1 species